AGAGAUUGCGAUGAGGAUAAAAAGCUCCCUCUUCGGAAAUCUAAAGUUGAGGAUGAAUUGCUGGCAGAAUCGAGCUACUACUUUUUAAGCCACCCCUGAGUAA